AUUGCUUCGGCGGGCCCGCCGUUUCGACGGCCGCCGGGGAGGCCUUGCGCCCCCGGGCCCGCGCCCGCCGAAGACCCCAACAUGAACGCUGUUCUGAAAGUAUGCAGUCUGAGUUGAUUAUCGUAAUCAGUUAAAACUUUCAACAACGGAUCUCUUGGUUCCGGCAUCGAUGAAGAACGCAGCGAAAUGCGAUAAGUAAUGUGAAUUGCAGAAUUCAGUGAAUCAUCGAGUCUUUGAACGCACAUUGCGCCCCCUGGUAUUCCGGGGGGCAUGCCUGUCCGAGCGUCAUUGCUGCCCUCAAGCACGGCUUGUGUGUUGGGCCCCCGUCCCCCUCUCCCGGGGGACGGGCCCGAAAGGCAGCGGCGGCACCGCGUCCGGUCCUCGAGCGUAUGGGGCUUUGUCACCUGCUCUGUAGGCCCGGCCGGCGCCAGCCGACACCCAACUUUAUUUUUCUAAGGUUGACCUCGGAUCAGGUAGGGAUACCCGCUGAACUUAAGCAUAUCAAUAAGCGGAGGA
rnacentral:misc_RNA from 1 species